rnacentral:rRNA from 1 species
UACGGGAGGGGCUAGUGUUACUCGUCAUAACUGGGCGUAAAGGGUUCGUAGGCGGUUUUUAAGUUGAAAGUUAAAGAACAAAUUUAAAUUUGUAUAGGCUCUCAAUACUAUUAAACUAGAGUAUCAUAGGGGAUAGUGGAACUUCUAAUGGAGAGAUGAAAUGUUAAGAUAUUAGAGGGAACACCAGAGGCGAAGGCGACUAUCUGGGUGAUUACUGACGCUGAGGGACGAAAGCAUGGGGAUCAAACAGG